UUUUUUUUUUUUUUUUUUUUUUUUUUUUUUUUUUUUUUUUUUUCU
rnacentral:ribozyme from 1 species